UACGUAGGGUGCAAGCGUUAAUCGGAAUUACUGGGCGUACAGCGUGCGCAGGCGGUUAUGUAAGGCAGAUGUUAAAUGCCCGGGCUUAACCUGGGAACUGCAUUUGUGACUGCAUGGCUAGAGUUUGGCAGAGGGGGGUAGAAUUCCACGUGUAGCAGUGAAAUGCGUAGAUAUGUGGAGGAACACCGAUGGCGAAGGCAGCCCCCUGGGUCAAGACUGACGCUCAUGCACGAAAGCGUGGGGAGCAAACAGG
rnacentral:rRNA from 1 species